rnacentral:lncRNA from 1 species
AGGGAACAAGACGAACAAAUUCCACGACGAUACCUCGCCUCUUGCCAAUGCCCCUGCUUCUCCUCAAGCUGCGCGUCCGCCGCCGCCGCCGCCACCUCCUCCGCCUUCGUCUCUGUUCUACCAGUUAUUCUCUCACAAGAAAGGGGGGAGCAAGAGCCGAAGGAUCCAUUCGACGCCAGCUCCUCCGCCGCCGCCGCCACCACCUGCGCCUCUGAAACGACGAUCCAAGAAGAAUGAUUCCUCCCCUCCUCCGCCUCCACCUCCGCCGUGGACCCAGAAAUCUAGGAACCAGGUCGCUCGCUCUCCACCGCCGCCGCCACCACCGCCGCCUGCCCCACCACAGUUAAACAUCUACAGGAAGAGAGAAAGAACCAAUCUUUCUAGGUUUUCCCACCCGCCUUCAUCUUUCCUACCACCACCACCUCCACCGCCGCCUUCGCCACCGCCGACAGAUCUACAGCUGCU